rnacentral:rRNA from 1 species
GGUCAUUGCAUACUGAAUACAUAGGUAUGCAAAGCGAACGCGGCGAACUGAAACAUCUAAGUAGCUGCAGGAAAAUAAAUCAACCGAGAUUCCCAAAGUAGUGGCGAGCGAAAUGGGAAGAGCCUGCAUGAUUUAGCAUGACGCAUAACAGAAUCCUCUGGAAAUAGGAGCCAUAGCGGGUGAUAGCCCCGUAUGUGAAAUGCGAUGUGUGGAACUAAGUAUGCGACAAGUAGGGCGGGACACGAGAAAUCCUGUCUGAAUAUGGGGGGACCAUCCUCCAAGGCUAAAUACUCGUAAUCGACCGAUAGUGAACCAGUACCGUGAGGGAAAGGCGAAAAGAACCCCGGGAGGGGAGUGAAAUAGAUCCUGAAACCGUGUGCAUACAAACAGUAGGAGCGGACUUGUUCCGUGACUGCGUACCUUUUGUAUAAUGGGUCAGCGACUUACAUUCAGUGGCAAGGUUAACCAGAUCGGGAAGCCGUAGAGAAAUCGAGUCCGAACAGGGCGUUCAGUCGCUGGGUGUAGACCCGAAACCAAGUGAUCUACUCAUGGCCAGGAUGAAGGUGCGGUAACACGCACUGGAGGUCCGAACCCACUAAUGUUGAAAAAUUAGGGGAUGAGCUGUGGGUAGGGGUGAAAGGCUAAACAAACUUGGAAAUAGCUGGUUCUCUCCGAAAACUAUUUAGGUAGUGCCUCAAGUAUCACCAUCGGGGGUAGAGCACUGUUAUGGCUAGGGGGUCAUCGCGACUUACCAAACCAUUGCAAACUCCGAAUACCGAUGAGUGCGAGCUUGGGAGACAGACGUCGGGUGCUAACGUCCGGCGUCAAGAGGGAAACAACCCAGACCGCCAGCUAAGGUCCCAAAGAUUGGCUAAGUGGAAAACGAAGUGGGAAGGCUAAAACAGUCAGGAUGUUGGCUUAGAAGCAGCCAUCAUUUAAAGAAAGCGUAAUAGCUCACUGAUCGAGUCGUCCUGCGCGGAAGAUGUAACGGGGCUAAGCCAGUCACCGAAGCUGCGGAUAUCCGCAAGGAUAUGGUAGGAGAGCGUUCUGUAAGCCUGCGAAGGUGUCUUGUAAAGGAUGCUGGAGGUAUCAGAAGUGCGAAUGCUGACAUGAGUAGCGAUAAUGGGGGUGAAAAGCCCCCACGCCGUAAGCCCAAGGUUUCCUGUUCAACGUUCAUCGGAGCAGGGUGAGUCGGCCCCUAAGGCGAGGCAGAGAUGCGUAGCUGAUGGGAAGCAGGUUAAUAUUCCUGCACCGUCGUAUGAUGCGAUGGGGGGACGGAUCGCGGAAGGUUGUCCAACUGUUGGAAUAGUUGGUUUCUGGUUCAUAGAAGGCGCUUAGGCAAAUCCGGGCGCANNNNNNNNNNNNNNNNNNNNNNNNNNNNNNNNNNNNNNNNNNNNNNNNNNNNNNNNNNNNNNNNNNNNNNNNNNNNNNNNNNNNNNNNNNNNNNNGCCAUGAUUCAAGGGACUGGGACGAGGCACUUAGGUGCUGAAGCAAUCGGAAGUGGUUCCAAGAAAAGCCUCUAAGCUUCAGUCAUACGAGACCGUACCGCAAACCGACACAGGUGGGCGAGAUGAGUAUUCUAAGGCGCUUGAGAGAACUCGGGAGAAGGAACUCGGCAAAUUGGUACCGUAACUUCGGGAAAAGGUACGCCCCGGUAGCUUGGCUGAUUUACUUCAGUAGGGCGAAAGGGUUGCAAUAAACUGGUGGCUGCGACUGUUUAAUAAAAACACAGCACUCUGCAAACACGAAAGUGGACGUAUAGGGUGUGACGCCUGCCCGGUGCUGGAAGAUUAAAUGAUGGGGUGCAAGCUCUUGAUUGAAGUCCCAGUAAACGGCGGCCGUAACUAUAACGGUCCUAAGGUAGCGAAAUUCCUUGUCGGGUAAGUUCCGACCUGCACGAAUGGCGUAACGAUGGCCACACUGUCUCCUCCCGAGACUCAGCGAAGUUGAAGUGUUUGUGAUGAUGCAAUCUACCCGCGGCUAGACGGAAAGACCCCAUGAACCUUUACUGUAGCUUUGCAUUGGACUUUGAACCAAUCUGUGUAGGAUAGGUGGGAGGCUUAGAAGCGGGGACGCCAGUUCUCGUGGAGCCAACCUUGAAAUACCACCCUGGUUUGUUUGAGGUUCUAACCUUGGCCCGUUAUCCGGGUCGGGGACAGUGCAUGGUAGGCAGUUUGACUGGGGCGGUCUCCUCCUAAAGUGUAACGGAGGAGUUCGAAGGUACGCUAGGUACGGUCGGACAUCGUGCUAAUAGUGCAAUGGCAUAAGCGUGCUUAACUGCGAGACUGACAAGUCGAGCAGGUACGAAAGUAGGACAUAGUGAUCCGGUGGUUCUGUAUGGAAGGGCCAUCGCUCAACGGAUAAAAGGUACUCUGGGGAUAACAGGCUGAUUCCUCCCAAGAGUUCAUAUCGACGGGGGAGUUUGGCACCUCGAUGUCGGCUCAUCACAUCCUGGGGCUGUAGCCGGUCCCAAGGGUAUGGCUGUUCGCCAUUUAAAGUGGUACGUGAGCUGGGUUUAAAACGUCGUGAGACAGUUUGGUCCCUAUCUGCCGUGGGCGUUGGAAAUUUGAAGGGGGCUGCUCCUAGUACGAGAGGACCGGAGUGGACGAACCUCUGGUGUACCGGUUGUCACGCCAGUGGCAUUGCCGGGUAGCUAAGUUCGGAAGAGAUAACCGCUGAAAGCAUCUAAGCGGGAAACUUGCCUUAAGAUGAGAUUUCCCGGAGCCUUGAGCUCCUUGAAGGGUCGUUCGAGACCAGGACGUUGAUAGGUCAGGUGUGGAAGUGCAGUAAUGCAUUAAGCUAACUGAUACUAAUUGCCCGUACGGCUUGUCCCUAUAACCUUAGCAGGUU